UACGGAGGGUGCAAGCGUUGCUCGGAAUUACUGGGCGUAAAGCGUACGCAGGCUGUCCGUUAAGUCGGGUGUGAAAGCCCGGGGCUCAACCCCGGAAUUGCGCCCGAAACUGACGGGCUUGAGUGCGGGAGAGGGAAGCGGAAUUCCGUGGUGUAGAGGUGAAAUUCGUAGAUAUCAGGAGGAACACCUGUGGUGUAGACAGCUUACUGGACGAUAACUGACGCUGAGGCACGAAAGCGUGGGUAGCAAACAGG
rnacentral:rRNA from 1 species